rnacentral:tRNA from 1 species
GCCUGGAUAGCUCAGUUGGUUAGAGCAUGGUGCUGAUAAUGCCAAGGUUGCCAGUUCGAUCCCUGUAUGGGACA